rnacentral:lncRNA from 1 species
AAACUUCUUUUCUUUCGCCCCUUCUUUUCCUUCUAAGCUAUUUUCUUUUCUUAUAUUUAACAUUUAAUAUUUCACACUAUAAUAAUAAUAAAGCUCUGUCUCGUUUUAAGUAUUGUAACUCCCGAUCACCGCUACCCUUUCCGAUUGAUCUGAGUCCCAUAACGCAUGUCAAGGCUCUGCCCGACUAAGUUCGUUGGAUUCUAUCUCGGGACUUCGGGACAAGGUUGAAUUAGGGGUACUAUACUUAACACGAGUACAUUAUAUAUUUUUUUUUUUUAGCCCAGAAGUUAUACCCAAAAUUUAUACCAGGAGGUUUUCUAGUUGAACCCUAAAGUUACAAAGUGGGUCCAUUCUCUUUUCUCAUCGUUUUAUUUCCUUUUUUUGAUUUACCCAAAACUAUUAUUAUUUUAUUUUAUCAAAAGUCAUAUCUAUUAUUCUUACCCAAUAGGAAACCCUAGUUGAGACCCCCAAGUAAUUCUACACAAUGCCUAAAAUUUUCAGAAUAAACAGAAUCAGGAUCAGGGCCCCUAAAACUCAAGGGGGGGUUAAACCUAGUGGACGAUUAUCCUAAAAACGCGUUGCCUGAAUCUGAUUGGUCGAAUCUGUUGAUUCAGCAUAGCUAGUCCCAUGCGUGGCAACCCUAUAGUCGGUUCCAACCCUUUACGGACCGUAAAGGGUUAGGCUUACAGUCCGUAAGCAGGAGCAAAUUCGUGUAUAAAUAGCAGGCUUCGGGACUUGCUUUUGGGCACAAAAACGACGCUCAAAUUCCAAAUUGACGUCGAGUUAUACUUCUUCUACGACUCAAACACACACCUCGAAACGCUGCCGCAAUCAGGGUAUUAACUCAAUCGCUGUUCAAUUCUUUUCUUUCCGUCAAGCUUUUAUAGCUCGGGAUUUUACCCUCAAAAUCCCUAAACUCUGCCCGUUAUUAGGGUAAUAACUCUAAUCACUGGUACGAUACUUUAUCCGAUCGAUUAUAACUAUCCAACGAUUGUCUAAGUGUUGCUCAAAUUGAGUUAUACUUUGUUAUUCAUUGUGAUUUCAACUUGAAUGUUUGAGUGCUGUCCAAACUCGGACUAUACUCUGUCAUUCGUUGUGAAUCCGCUGAAUUAUUAAGUAUUGCACUUGUAAAUCGUUGUGAGGGUUUUAUCUCGUGAUUAUCGUUAAAGUUGAAUUGAGUUAAUACAUUAAUACGAGUUCUUGUGUCUAGAAAUUAGAACUCAUAAUCAGUAAGCUGUUAAACUAGUAUAUCAAACUUAGCAGUUAAGUUAACUGAGUAGAUUAAUUAAUUUGUUUAGUAUAAUUAAUUAAUCAGUUAAUUAAUAUUAAUUAAGCUAAGCAAGAUUAAUUAAGCUAAGUAAGUUAUUUAGUUAAAUAGUUAAGGAAACUUAAUAGUUAAGGAAACUUAAUAGUUAAGGAAACUUAAUGGUUAAGGAAACUUCCUAGCUAAGGAAUAAAUCUACAUAUAAAUAGGAAGCUUAGGAUUCAUUCUUCUUUGCUCAUUUCUUUCUUCUUCUCUCUAUACGUUGGUGUUCUAACCAAUAAUCAUUCAAUCGCUAUUACGAUUCAUUUUCCGACCAAUCAAUAUAUCCAAUGAAUGUUUAAGUGCCGCCCAUAUUAGGGUUAUACUUUGUCGUUCGUCGUUAAUUCGAUGAAUGUUUAAGUAUCGCACUUUGUCGUUCGUUGUGAGAAUUUGAUCUCGUGAGUUAUCGUAAAAGCUGUAUUGAUCAUUAACCCGGUUUUUGUGAAAUUCGUUAAGGUUCGAAUCUCAUAACUUCCGUUAAGGUUUGAUUUGGGUUUUUACACCAAUACGUAUUCCAUUCUGUUAAACUAUGUAUUUAACUACCAAGAAUACUCACAACUACACCCUUACAAUCAAACAAACUAUUAAAUCAUCAGAAGAUCCAGAAUAAUAAAGUGCAUGCUUAAUUAUCGGAAGAAGUAGAAUCAAGAAGUUUGUUAACUCAAUCCUGCAUGCUGAUUUGGUUACUUUACUGGUUUAACAGACAAGGUAAAAGAACAUAUUUCCAUUUUUUACAGUGCCCAGGUGAUCAUUUAUGGCGGUAUUCCAGCUGAGAAGGUUUACACUAUCCUUCACAUUUAUAUAUAUAUAUUUUUGAAAAAUUGCUGGCUGAGUGGAUUUAGUUCUAAAGAUGUAUGGAUGAUGAUUUACAAGAAUUUGGAAGCAUGGCACUCAUGUCAGUACACACAUGGCUAUAAU